CAGCAGCCGCGGUAAAACGAGGGGUGCAAGCGUUAUUCGGAUUGAUUGGGUGUAAAGGGUGUGCAGACGGCUUAUUAAGUCACUUGUUAAAUUCUUCGGCCUAACUGAAGGUCUGCAAGUGAUACUGAUGAGCUAGAGGGUGGAAGAGAGAAGUGGAAUUCUCGGAGUAGCGGUAAAAUGCGUAGAUCUCGAGAGGAACACCAAUGGCGAAGGCAGCUUCUUGGUCCAUUCCUGACGUUCAUACACGAAAGCGUGGGGAGCAAACAGGAUUAGAUACCCCCGUAGUCCCUGUCUCUUAUAA
rnacentral:rRNA from 1 species